rnacentral:rRNA from 1 species
CGGGUGCACUGAUCCGGCCGGGCCUUUCCCUCUGUGGAACCCCAUGGCCUUCACUGGCUGUGCGGGGGAAACAGGACUUUUACUGUGAAAAAAUUAGAGUGCUCCAGGCAGGCCUAUGCUCGAAUACAUUAGCAUGGAAUAAUAGAAUAGGACGCGUGGUCCUAUUUUGUUGGUUUCUAGGACCGCCGUAAUGAUUAAUAGGGACAGUCGGGGGCAUCAGUAUUCAAUUGUCAGAGGUGAAAUUCUUGGAUCUAUCGAAGACUAACUACUGCGAAAGCAUUUGCCAAGGAUGUUUUCAUUGAUAAGGAACGAAAGUUAGGGGAUCGAAGACGAUCAGAUACCGUCGUAGUCUUAACUAUAAACUAUGCCGACUAGGGAUCGGACGAUGUUAUUUCUUGACGCGUUCGGCACCUUUCGAGAAAUCAAAGUGCUUGGGCUCCAGGGGGAGUAUGGUCGCAAGGCUGAAACUUAAAGAAAUUGACGGAAGGGCACCACCAGGGGUGGAACCUGCGGCUUAAUUUGACUCAACACGGGGAAACUCACCAGGUCCAGACACAGUGAGGAUUGACAGAUUGAGAGCUCUUUCUUGAUUCUGUGGGUGGUGGUGCAUGGCCGUUCUUAGUUGGUGGAGUGAUUUGUCUGCUUAAUUGCGAUAACGAACGAGACCUUAACCUGCUAAAUAGCCCGUACUGCUCUGGCAGUUCGCCGGCUUCUUAGAGGGACUAUCGG